rnacentral:rRNA from 1 species
GACGAACCGUGCGAACGUUAUUCGGAUUCACUGGGCUUAAAGGGCGCGUAGGCGGCGAUUCAAGUCUGGGGUGAAAGCCUUCGGCUUAACCGGAGAAGUGCCUUGGAUACUGGAUCGCUCGAGGGGGAUAGGGGCAUGCGGAACUUCCGGUGGAGCGGUGAAAUGCGUAGAUAUCUGGAGGAACACCGGUGGCGAAGGCGGCGUUCUGGACUGCAACUGACACUGAGAAACGAAAGCCAGGGUAGCAAACGGG